rfam:Pteropus alecto contig20064, whole genome shotgun sequence.
AUGCUUGCUUCGGCAGCACAUAUAGUAAAAUUAGAACGAUACAGAGUAGAUAGGCAUGGCCCCUGCACAAAGAUGAAAUGCAAAUUCAUAAACUGUUCCAUAGUAAA